rnacentral:lncRNA from 1 species
CUUAGAACUGAUUACUGACUCUAUGCAUUUAAAUAAGUGGAGUAAUCAUAGCAUUUUAAAAGUUGUUAUUAAUUUCAUCAUUAUACAUACCAUAGUAAAUCUAAAAUAAUUAUAUAAUGCGAAAAGAAAGAAAAGAAAAAAAUAUGUUUUUCUUCAUCAGGAUUAAUACUAUGAAUCCAGAAUACAUUUAUUAUUUUGCAGUAAUAAGGUGAAUAUUUAAUUCUUCAAAAGAUCCAUCAGUGAAAGAGGCAGAAUUUCUCUCUUCAUUUAUCAAAGACACAGUCUUACAUAACCUAAGAAGGCCAUGGAGGCGACAGUUUCAUCACCUUCAUCUAACCAAGGUAACUGCUUGGCCUGCGCAUGUUGUGCUGAGAAUAAUUGUAGAUCACACCAUUGUUGACAGAAAUGAAUGUGGAAGUAAAAGAAAAGAAUGUGGAGUAAGGAGUUCAUUCUUUCCAGCGGUGAGCUGGGACAGGGGCAAGGACUGCCUGUGGUGACCUGUAUCCAUGUUCCUUUCUAGGAAGUGCAGGACAGGGUUCCAUUUUCCAGGCCUACUGAAGGUAGGCGUGUCAUGUGACUAAGUUCUAGGAAUAUGUGUGAAGUUGAUGUGUACCACUUUCACUCUGGACCUCAGAAACAGGCCAUGUUAGAUCUUCUCUCUUUUUCUGUUCUUCCCAUGUUCACAGCCAGCUUGAAAACAGGACAGAGCCACCAGCUCUAAAUGGUGAAGGUCUCUGCAUGACUGGAGAUAUCUGCCUCUCUCUUAUCUCACUGCCAUGUCUUGAUCUGUGCCGUGCAGGAGACAUGAGGUUACAUCGUCAAGAGUCACUGAGAUUUCUAGUACGUCUGUCACAGCAACCAGCAUUUUUAUCUUAGUACAGAAAUGCACAUGCUGUCAUAAAUAGAAUUUAAAAUAAUAUGGGCUGAACAGUAAGCCAGCAAGCUGGGAGAAAGCAGUUUAUCAAGAGGUAACAAGGUAAGCUAGUCCUGUUCUGUGGCAAAACAUUUGUAGAACUACUACCUGUGAUCAUCUGGAAGGCUGAACGUAUGACAUCAAAUAAGUAACCCAAAAAAAUGUUUGGAAAGAUUCGGAGGCAUAGGGUGAAUUUUAUAUCAUUGACCACUUUUAGUACGCUGUUACAUGAAAAAGAUAAGUUCAGAUAAUAAUUGCCUAGCUUGCUUCAAGGAUGAAAAAGGAUAUAAAGUAAAUUCCAAAUGUUGGGACUUUGAAUAUUUAGAAAAUCUCACUGCUUCUGGACAUCAACCAAUG